GCAGGUUCAAUCAUGUUUUAAGAUUCCUACCUUUGAUGAUUGGAGUGCUAACCGACACCUGCCAGGUACUGCCUACCCAAGAGGGCCAACCUGAGCAGGGAGCCAGCUUCACUCUGCAGCUCCCACCUGAAAAAGGACCACUGACUUGGUUAUGUGGUGUGGACCGAUUGAAACUGGGAGACCCCGGGAGCAGAUGCCCAGGUAUGGAGACACUCAGAGGACAGUACAGGCUCUUAUUGGCACCGAGGGGCCCACCGCUGCGACUUUGCGACCACAGCUGAGUUUUCCUUCUGUGCCAUACACUAGAUGGCAGCACCAUGCCCAUUGGAGUGACAAGGUCCUUUGAGAAGCCCUGGAUUCCAGGCCUGGUUCCGUUGCUUGCUGUUGUGAGCUCUGGGCGACCCCCCUGGUAAGUGUCCCCAACAGAACUGCUUUGUUUGACCACCUCCAGAUGAGACGAGGCAUGGGUGAGUCCUUUGAACCCUAUAAAACAAUGAAGAUAACAAGUUUCUCCUCCACAAGAUUUGGAUCUGGGCUUUUUUCUCCCCAUCUCUCUGAUGGAAGUCUCAUCACAGAACCAGGA